GAUGAACGCUAGCGGCAGGCCUAAUACAUGCAAGUCGAACGGUGUCUUCGGACAUAGUGGCGCACGGGUGCGUAACACGUAUGCAACCUACCUUACAUUGGGGGAUAGCCCUUUCGAAAGGGAGAUUAAUACCGCAUAAGACAGUAGCUGGGCAUCCAGCAGCUGUUAAAGAUUUAUCGAUGUAAGAUGGGCAUGCGUCCAAUUAGUUAGUUGGCGAGGUAACGGCUCACCAAGACUUUGAUUGGUAGGGGAACUGAGAGGUCAAUCCCCCACACUGGCACUGAGAUACGGGCCAGACUCCUACGGGAGGCAGCAGUAGGGAAUAUUGGGCAAUGGACGCAAGUCUGACCCAGCCAUGCCGCGUGCAGGAUGAAGGCGUUAUGCGUUGUAAACUGCUUUUAUACAGGAAGAAACGACUCUUGCGAGAGGCAUUGACGGUACUGUAUGAAUAAGCACCGGCUAACUCCGUGCCAGCAG
rnacentral:rRNA from 1 species